GCAAUGUCCAAAACCGACAUAUGAGCCAUUCCCUAUUUAUGCACAUAACUUCAAACCCAUUCCCUCCACUCUUCAAGGGUGCCGGUUUCUAUUGUUCGUUUGUGAUGCGAUCAGUCAGGAUCGAUGGGAUUUGUUCCUAAUAUAACAUUUGAUAGAUACUGUAGCUAAUUUGUUCAGCAGAAUGCGUCUUAGUCGAACCCUUUGUGUGGCUUCGACCUGUUCUUUCUCAUUACACCUGCAACUGGUGCUAGUUUUUUCGUUGUCUACUUAAUUGGGUUUAUGAUCUUUAGAAUAACAAUAGUUGUUUUUAAUUCACGUGUAUUUGCUAUUAAGUACCUGCGGGUUCUUCUUAAUCAGGAUUAGUAGU